AUUGGAGUCUGCAACUCGACUCCAUGAAGCUGGAUUCGCUAGUAAUCGCGCAUCAGCCAUGGCGCGGUGAAUACGUUCCCGGGCCUUGUACACACCGCCCGUCAAGCCAUGGGAGCCGGGGGUGCCUGAAGUACGUGACCGCGAGGAGCGUCCUAGGGCAAAACUGGUGACUGGGGCUAAGUCGUAACAAGGUAAC
rnacentral:rRNA from 1 species